GACGAACGCUGGCGGCGCGCUUAACACAUGCAAGUCGAACGGAAAGGCCUGCUUUCCCUUGUGGAUUGCGGGUACUCGAGUGGCGAACGGGUGAGUAACACGUGAGUGAUCUGCCCCCAACUUGGGUAUAAGCCUGGGAAACUGGGUCUAAUUCCCGAUAGGACUGCAGGGUGGUGCCUGUGGUGGAAAACGAUUUUCUAGUGGUUGGGGAUGAGCUCGCGGCCUAUCAGCUUGUUGGUGGGGUAAUGGUCUACCAAGGCGGCGACGGGUAGCCGGCCUGAGAGGGUGGACGGCCACAUUGGGACUGAGAUACGGCCCAGACUCCUACGGGAGGCAGCAGUGGGGAAUAUUGCACAAUGGGCGGAAGCCUGAUGCAGCGACGCCGCGUGGGGGAUGACGGCCUUCGGGUUGUAAACUCCUUUCGACCGCGAGGAAGCCACCUGGUUGGAAGGGUGGUGACGGUAGUGGUAGAAGAAGCACCGGCUAACUACGUG
rnacentral:rRNA from 1 species